CGGUUCGGGGCAGCCACGAAAGAAAAUCUCUAGAGGUGGAGACAUCGCUUUUCAAGGUUGCCCGCGUUCUGUUAGGAAAAAAAUCCCAAGAAUUCCGAUGCCCUGGAGGCUGUGACUUCCCAACUGUUCUCAGGGGUUCAAAAUGUUCAGUGCCCAGGAGCACGAAGAAAAGCAGUGCGGGGCAAAGGUCCCUCCGCCCCCGCCCGGGCGGGCGCAGCGCGGCGUGGGGACAUCAUAGCCGACGCUGGACACCGGGAAGAAAGGAGUCACGAAGGUGCUUUCCCCGCCCCACUGUUGUCCACCUGUCCCUGCACGGCCCUGGGCCAUGACUCCCUCAAUCGCACAGAUCAAGUGGAGCUGACAAGGGCAAGCGGCAGGCCUGGACGCUCUCAGCAACACUGCAGGGGCCAGAAGGCUGCGGACCGAGCCGCGGGUGCUUCCCGGGUAGGCACCCUGGGAACAGCGGGCGCCGCGGCCCUGCAGGCCAGCGGGUGGAAGGUGCCCGGGGCUGCAACAGCCUCCGACAGGUGAGAAAUCUUCUUCCUCUCUUUCUUUUUAAAGGUGCAGCCUUGUUUUCCACUUUUUUUUAAAUUUAGAGACUAUUUUACAAUUAUUUAUUUAUUUAUUUUAAAGGCAAAGAGAGAGGGAGAGAGAUUUUCCAUUUGCUAGUUUGCUCCCCAAAUGGCUGCAAGACCUAGGGCUGGGCCAGGCUGAAGCCAGGAACCUGCAGUUCAGUCCUGGUCUGCCGUGUUGGUUGCAGAGCCCCAGGGACUUGAGCCCUCACCUGCUGCCUCCCAGGGUGCACAUCAGCAGGAAGCCAGAAUCAAAAGUGGAGCCAGGCCUCGAACCCAGGCCCUCUGCUAGGGAAUGCAGGCGUCUCAACCGCUGAGCCACGGACCUGCCCCCAGCCAGAACGUUCUCAGGCUGAAGGGGUCAGAGUACUGGCCUGCAGUGUGUACAGGUCAUUGAGAAUGCGCGUGUGGGGAUCGGUGCUGUGGCACAGGGGGUGAAGCCUCCAGCGUCCCACGGAGCACCAGUCCCCGCUGCCCUGCCUCCGAGCCAGCUCCCUGCUAAUGCACCUGGGAAGGCAGCAGAAGCUGGCCCAGGUAUCUGGGCCCCUUCCACUCAGGUGGGAGACCUGGAUGGAGUUCCUGGCUCCUGGCUUUGGUCUGGUCCAGCACUGGCUGUUGAGCCACUUGGGGAGUGAAUUGGCAGAUGGGAGAUUCUCUCUCCAUCCCUGUGUCUGUCCUGCCAUUCAAAUAAAUAGAUCUU
rnacentral:lncRNA from 1 species